rnacentral:lncRNA from 1 species
GCUUUGUCAAAACGGACCCAUCAGCUCUCUGUAAAACGGACCAAUCAGCUCUCUGUAAAAUGGACCAAUCAGCUCUCUAUAAAAUGGACCAAGCAGUAGGAUGUGGGUGGGGCCAGAUAAGGGAACGAAAGCAGGCCUCCCAAGCCAGGAGCGGCAAACUGCUGGGAUCCAUUUCCAUGCUGUGGACUCUUUGUGCUUUGCUCUUUGCAGUAAAUCUUGCUGCUGCUCACUUUUUGGGUCUGCACCACCUUUAUGAGCUGUAACACUCACCGCGAAGGUCUGCAGCUUUACACCUGAAGCCAGGGAGACCACGAACUCAUCAGGAGGAACGAACAACUCCAGACGCGCGGCCUUUAAGAGCUGUAACACUCAACGCGAAGGUCUGCAGCUUCACUCUUGAAGUCAGCGAAACCGCAAACCCACCAGAAGGAAGAAACUCCGGACACAUCUGAACACCUGAAGGAACAAACCCCGGACACACCAUCUCUAAGAACUGUAACACUCACCGCCAGGGUCCGCGGCUUCAUUCUUGAAUCAGUGAGACCAAGAACCCACCAAUUCCAGACACAGAAGUAGAUGAUCCUCAAUCAAUCACUUAAAGGCCUGAAUAGAACCAAAAGUCUGACCUGCCCAUGAGUAACAGAGAGCUCCUUCUGCCUGAUUGCUUCAGCUGAGAUAUCGGCCUUUCCCUGCCUUUGGAAUUGAACUGCAACACUGGCUCUUCUUGGGCCUCAAGACUGCCAGCUUUUGAACUGUAACCACACUAUCAUCUCUCCUGGUUCUCAGGCCUUUGGACUCAAAUCAGAAGCAUACCAGGGGCUCUCCUACAUCUCCAACUUGCUAACUGUGAUCUUGAGACUUCUUAGCCUCCAUAAUCACAUGAGUCAAUUGUUGGUUCUGCUUCUCUGGAGAACCCUAAUCCAUCACUCUACAUCUUUGUUCCAUUAUACAUAUUGCUUCCCAGCAUAUUAAAUAAUUUAUCGAUUAUAUUUUUGGUUUAUUAUUUAUUUCUCCUACUGGAAUGUAAGUUUCACAGAG